rnacentral:rRNA from 1 species
GACGAACGCUGGCGGCGUGCUUAACACAUGCAAGUCGAACGAAGAGCGACGGAAGCUUGCUUCUAUCAAUCUUAGUGGCGAACGGGUGAGUAACGCGUAAUCAACCUGCCCUUCAGAGGGGGACAACAGUUGGAAACGACUGCUAAUACCGCAUACGAUCUAACCUCGGCAUCGAGGAUAGAUGAAAGGUGGCCUCUACAUGUAAGCUAUCACUGAAGGAGGGGAUUGCGUCUGAUUAGCUAGUUGGAGGGGUAACGGCCCACCAAGGCGAUGAUCAGUAGCCGGUCUGAGAGGAUGAACGGCCACAUUGGGACUGAGACACGGCCCAGACUCCUACGGGAGGCAGCAGUGGGGAAUCUUCCGCAAUGGACGAAAGUCUGACGGAGCAACGCCGCGUGAGUGAUGACGGCCUUCGGGGUUGUAAAGCUCUGUUAAAUCGGGACGAAAAGGCCUUUCUUGU